CAAUAGCGUAUACUAAAGUUGUUGCAGUUAAAAAGCUCGUAGUUGGAUUUCUGGUCGAGGCAGCCGGUCGGCACCAAGUGUGUUUGUACCAGGCGCCUCGUCCAUUUUUGUAGAAGCUGUGUCUGUCAUUCAGUUGUCGGGCAUAGGGUCUGCAUCAUUUACUGUGAGCAAAAUAGAGUGUUCAAAGCAGGCUUAGGCCAUGAAUACAUUAGCAUGGAAUAAUAAGAUAAGACCUUGGUCUAUUUUGUUGGUUAGCAUUCCGAGGUAAUGAUUAAUAGGGAUAGUUGGGGGUAUUCGUAUUCAAUUGUCAGAGGUGAAAUUCUUGGAUUUAUUGAAGACGAACUACUGCGAAAGCAUUUACCAAGGAUGUUUUCAUUAAUCAAGAACGAAAGUUAGGGGAUCGAAGACGAUCAGAUACCAU
rnacentral:rRNA from 1 species